rnacentral:lncRNA from 1 species
UGUCUCCAAGUUAUUUACUGAGCCCUAGUCUUCGCCUUUCACCCAUUACAGAUGCUCAGUUCUCACCAUAUGUAGGUGGAAUGGCUUUCUCUCCUACUUCAUCUCCAGGCUAUAGCCCAUCAUCCCCUGGUUACAGUCCAUCAUCCCCUGGUUACAGUCCUACGUCUCCUGGAUACAGCCCUACCUCACCUGGUUAUAGCCCCACCUCACCUGGAUACAGCCCAACUUCGCCAACUUAUAGCCCUAGUUCUCCUGGCUAUAGCCCUACCAGUCCUGCCUAUUCUCCUACAAGUCCAUCGUAUUCCCCAACUUCCCCUAGUUACAGCCCAACUUCUCCCAGCUAUAGCCCAACAUCUCCAAGUUAUAGUCCAACCUCUCCAAGCUAUAGCCCCACAUCUCCCAGUUACAGCCCAACUUCACCAAGCUAUAGCCCUACAUCUCCAGUAUAUAGUCCCACUUCACCUGCAUAUAGUCCCACUUCGCCUGCAUACAGUCCUACCUCACCAUCAUACAGCCCAACUUCUCCUUCCUAUAGCCCAACGUCACCUUCCUAUAGCCCAACCUCGCCUUCUUACAGCCCCACAUCUCCAUCAUACAGUCCAACUUCACCUGCUUAUAGCCCGACAUCCCCUGGUUACAGUCCAACCUCACCAAGCUAUAGCCCAACAUCGCCAAGCUAUAGCCCGACCUCACCCAGUUACAAUCCUCAGUCAGCUAAAUACAGUCCGUCACUGGCAUACUCACCUAGCAGUCCAAGAUUGUCACCGUCGAGUCCUUACAGCCCCACGUCUCCAAAUUAU